rnacentral:lncRNA from 1 species
AUGGAAGAAUGGUGGACCAACGAUUGGCAAUUUCAAAAUAUUGUCAAUAACGCUUACUCCUUUCUUCCACAGUUCGACCCAGAACCCCUACCUAAUCCACCAAUGAGCAAUGAAAAUCUGGCUGAACUUCGCCAUUUCGUUGUAACAUAACGAAUAAAACAUUGUAAAAUAUCGGUGUGUAUUGAUGCAUACUAUACUGAUAUGAAAUGCAAUCGAGAAAUCGAUAAUUUUGGCUUUAUGUGUUAUAACUUGUUUAAUGAUUUGUGUAAAUUGUUAAUUGCUAAUUAUUCAUAAUAACUUAUCAUCAGAUGGCAAAUAACGAUAACGAACCAGUAAAUGAAGUUAAUCAAUCGGAGCAACACCCAGAAGAUCAAUAUAUGACCAAACAAGAUAUUGAAAAUAUGGUUGCCCAAGGAAUAGCCAACGCAAUUCCAAUGUUCGUUACUGCUAUGAAAAAUCCAAACGAUCCGCAACAUAUUAUACCUAGCAAACAUACUAUCAAAGAUAAUUUCAGUAAUAGUAUAAACGGGGGCAAUGAUCAUAUAAAUCAUGACAAUGAAUCUCAGCACACGCAACGCCUUAAGAAACGAAAGGCUGCAACACCUGGUUGCACUUUCAA